rnacentral:rRNA from 1 species
GAUGAACGCUGGCGGCGUGCCUAAUACAUGCAAGUCGAGCGAACAGAUAAGGAGCUUGCUCCUUUGACGUUAGCGGCGGACGGGUGAGUUACACGUGGAUAACCUACCUAUAAGACUGGGAUAACUUCGGAAACCGGAGCUAAUUCCGGGUUACAUAUUGAACCGCAUUGUUCAAUAGUUGAAGGCGGCUUUGCUUUCACUUUUAGAUGGAUCCGCGCCGUAUUAGCUAGUUGGUAAGGUAACGGCUUACCAAGGCAACGAUACGUAGCCGACCUGAGAGGGUGAUCGGCCACACUGGAACUGAGACACGGUCCAGACUCCUACGGGAGGCAGCAGUAGGGAAUCUUCCGCAAUGGGCGAAAGCCUGACGGAGCAACGCCGCGUGAGUGAUGAAGGUCUUCGGAUCGUAAAACUCUGUUAUCAGGGAAGAACAAAUGUGUAAGUAACUGUGCACAUCUUGACGGUACCUGAUCAGAAAGCCACGGCUAACUACGUG